rnacentral:rRNA from 1 species
AACGAACGCUGCCGCAUGCCUAACCCAUGCAAGUCGAACGAGACCUUCGGGUCUAGUGGCGCACGGGUUCGUUACGCGUGGGAACCUUCCCUUUGGUUCGGAAUAACUCCCCGAAAGGGGUUCUAAUACCGGGUAAUGUCUUCGGACCAAAGAUUUAUCGCCUUUGGAUGGGCCCGCGUUGGAUUAGCUAGUUGGUAGGGUAAAAGCCUACCAAGGCGACGAUCCAUAGCUGGUCUGAGAGGAUGAUCAGCCACACUGGGACUGAGACACGGCCCAGACUCCUACGGGAGGCAGCAGUGGGGAAUAUUGGACAAUGGGCGAAAGCCUGAUCCAGCAAUGCCGCGUGAGUGAUGAAGGCCUUAGGGUUGUAAAGCUCUUUUACCCGGGAUGAUAAUGACAGUACCGGGAGAAUAAGCUCCGGCUAACUCCGUG